rnacentral:rRNA from 1 species
AGUGGCGGACGGGGGAGUAACGCGUUAGAAUCUGCCUUGGGGUCGGGGACAACCACUGGAAACGGUGGCUAAUACCGGAUAAGCCGAUUGGUGAAAGAUUUAUUGCCCGAAGAGGAGCUCGCGUCUGAUUAGCUAGUUGGUGAGGUAAGAGCUCACCAAGGCAGCGAUCAGUAGCUGGUCUGAGAGGACGAUCAGCCACACUGGGACUGAGACACGGCCCAGACUCCUACGGGAGGCAGCAGUGGGGAAUUUUCCGCAAUGGGCGAAAGCCUGACGGAGCAAGACCGCGUGAGGGAGGAAGGCUCUUGGGUUGUAAACCUCUUUUCUCAGGGAAGAAGCUCUGACGGUACCUGAGGAAUCAGCCUCGGCUAACUCCGUGCCAGCAGCCGCGGUAAUACGGAGGAGGCAAGCGUUAUCCGGAAUUAUUGGGCGUAAAGCGUCCGCAGGUGGCAAUUCAAGUCUGCUGUCAAAGCACGGGGCUUAACUCCGUUAAGGCAGUGGAAACUGAAUAGCUAGAGUGCCGUAGGGGUAGAGGGAAUUCCCGGUGUAGCGGUGAAAUGCGUAGAGAUCGGGAAGAACAUCGGUGGCGAAAGCGCUCUACUGGACGGCAACUGACACUCAGGGACGAAAGCUAGGGGAGCGAAUGGGAUUAGAUACCCC